CCCCCAGUAGCGGCGAGCGAACGGGGAGCAGCCCAGAGUCUGAAUCAGCUUGUGUGUUAGUGGAACGGUCUGGAAAGUCCGACGGUACAGGGUGAUAGUCCCGUACACCAAAAUGCACAGGCUGUGAACUCGAAGAGUAGGGCGGGACACGUGGUAUCCUGUCUGAAUAUGGGGGGACCAUCCUCCAAGGCUAAAUACUCCUGACUGACCGAUAGUGAACCAGUACCGUGAGGGAAAGGCGAAAAGAACCCCGGCGAGGGGAGUGAAAAAGAACCUGAAACCGUGUACGUACAAGCAGUGGGAGCACCUUCGGGUGUGACUGCGUACCUUUUGUAUAAUGGGUCAGCGACUUAUAUUCUGUAGCAAGGUUAACCGUAUAGGGGAGCCGCAGGGAAACCGAGUCUUAACUGGGCGUUAAGUUGCAGGGUAUAGACCCGAAACCCGGUGAUCUAGCCAUGGGCAGGUUGAAGGUUGGGUAACACUAACUGGAGGACCGAACCGACUAAUGUUGAAAAAUUAGCGGAUGACUUGUGGCUGGGGGUGAAAGGCCAAUCAAACCGGGAGAUAGCUGGUUCUCCCCGAAAGCU
rnacentral:rRNA from 1 species